GGCUAGUUAGCUCAGUCACUUGAGCAUAGCGCUAACAAUGCUAAGGUCACGGGUUCAAUUCCUGUUCGGUCCC
rnacentral:tRNA from 1 species